rnacentral:rRNA from 1 species
CAGCCGCCGCGGUAAUACAGAGGGUGCAAGCGUUAAUCGGAAUUACUGGGCGUAAAGCGCGCGUAGGUGGUUUGUUAAGUUGGAUGUGAAAUCCCCGGGCUCAACCUGGGAACUGCAUCCAAAACUGGCAGGCUAGAGUAGGGCAGAGGGUGGUGGAAUUUCCUGUGUAGCGGUGAAAUGCGUAGAUAUAGGAAGGAACACCAGUGGCGAAGGCGACCACCUGGGCUCAUACUGACACUGAGGUGCGAAAGCGUGGGGAGCAAACAGGAUUAGAUACCCCAGUAGUCCCUGUCUCUUAUAC